rfam:Salmo salar isolate Sally breed double haploid chromosome ssa10, whole genome shotgun sequence.
UUAAAGGCUCUUUUAACAGCCACCCACAGCUAUCACAAAAUGAAC